rnacentral:rRNA from 1 species
GCAAGAUACCACGGGCGCACGGCGGAUGCCUUGGCACAGGGAGCCGAUGAAGGACGCGGCAAGCUGCGAUAAUCCCCGGCGAGGAGCACACAUCCUUCGACCCGGGGGUCUCCGAAUGGGCGAACCCAUCCACAGCAGUGUGGAUAUCCCGACCCCGAACACAUAGGGGCCGGGAGGACAACCCGGGGAACUGAAACAUCUAAGUACCCGGAGGAGAGGAAAUCAAUCUCGAGACUCCCCGAGUAGCGGCGAGCGAAAGGGGACCGAUGGCCAAACCGUCGAGCGGGCAUACCCGGCAGGGGUUCCGCCGACGGGGUUGCAGGGCCGCGCAUCCGGGGGCUGCCGCCCCCGGGCGCAGGUCCGGCUGGGGAGCGGAACGGCAUGGGAGGGCCGGCCGCAGCGGGUGACAGCCCCGUACGCGAACCCAGACCGGACGGCGCGACGCGGUCCCUGAGUAGGGCCGGGCACGUGAAACCCGGUCCGAACCUGGGUGGACCACCAUCCAAGCCUGAGUACUACCCUGUGACCGAUAGCGCACCAGUACCGUGAGGGAAAGGUGAAAAGCACCCCGGGAGGGGAGUGAAACAGUACCUGAACCCGUGCGCCCACGAGCAGUCGGAGCAACUUUUAGUUGUGACGGCGUGCCUUUUGUAGAAUGAGCCAGCGAGUCGCUGGCGCGGGGCGAGGUUAACCGAAAGGGAGCCGGAGCGAAAGCGAGCCUUAACAGGGCGACUUGAGUCCCGCGCCGCGGACGCGAAGCCGGGUGAGCUAUCCGUGGGCAGGCUGAAGCGGGGGUAAGACCCCGUGGAGGGCCGAACGCACGUCGGUUGAAAACGGCGGCGAUGACCUGCGGAUAGGGGUGAAAGGCCAAUCAAACCCGGAGAUAUCUCGUUCUCCCCGAAAUAGCUUUAGGGCUAGCGUCGCGCGUUCACCGCCGGAGGUAGAGCACCGGAUGGACGAGGGGGCUUCGCCGCCUACCGAAUCCAACCGAACUCCGAAUGCCGGCGGCCCAGAGCGCGGCAGUCAGAGCAUGUGGGCUAAGCUGUGUGCUCGAGAGGGAAACAGCCCGGACCGCCCGCUAAGGUCCCCAAGUUCCAGCCGAGUGGCAAAGGAUGUGCGUCCGCCCAGACAACCAGGAUGUUGGCUUAGAAGCAGCCAUCCAUUCAAAGAGUGCGUAACAGCUCACUGGUCGAGUGGACAUGCGCCGACAAUACACGGGGCUAAGCUGGACACCGAAGCGGCGGGAUUUUACCUAAGUAGAAUCGGUAGGGGAGCUUCCCAUGGGCGGUGAAGCCGCCGGGCGACCGGCGGUGGAGCGCAUGGGAGUGAGAAUGCUGGCAUGAGUAGCGAGAGACGAGAGAGUAACUCGUCCGCCGUGAACCCGAGGUUUCCUGGGCAAGGCUAAUCCUCCCAGGGUCAGUCGGGGGCUAAGGCGAGGCCGGGAGGCGUAGCCGACGCGCAGCAGGCAGACAUUCCUGCACCGCGCACGCGGCGCUACGACCGACGGGGCGACGGAUGGGGGUGGCUCGGCGGGGUUCUGGACGUCCCCGUGAUGGAGCGCGGCCCGCGGACCAGGGAAAUCCGGUCCGCACGAGGGCGAGGCUCCGGACGAAGCGCUUAAGCGAAGCGAGUGAGCCCGAGGUCCCUAGAAAAACCCCUAGGCAGGCGCGUGCGCGCCCGUACCGCAAACCGACACAGGUGGGUGGGUAGAACAUACCGAGGCGAUCGGGUCAACCAUGGUCAAGGAACUCGGCACAAUGGCCCCGUAACUUCGGGAGAAGGGGUGCCCGCGCGUACGUGAACGGACUUGCUCCGGGAGCGGAGGCGGGCCGCAGUGGAGAGGCCCAAGCGACUGUUUACCAAAAACACAGGACUCUGCAGAAGCCGCAAGGCGACGUAUAGGGUCUGACGCCUGCCCGGUGCCGGAAGGUCACGCGGAGGAGUUAGCGCAUCGCGCGAAGCCCCGAAGCCAAGCCCCGGUAAACGGCGGCCGUAACUAUAACGGUCCUAAGGUAGCGAAAUUCCUUGUCGGGUAAGUUCCGACCUGC